AUCGGAGCAAAACCCUUCCUGGUUUUAUGCUAACUCUGGAUAACACUUGAUCUCGCAUGACCUUGUGUCGGCGAAGUUACAUUCAAGUAUCUGCCUUAUCAACUUUCGAUGGUAGUGUAUUGGACUGCCAUGGUGUUGACGGGUAACGGAGAAUCAGGGUUCGACUCCGGAGAGGGAGCCUUAGAAACGGCUACCAUUUCUAAGGAAAGCAGCAGGCGCGGAACUUAUCCACUGUUCAUUGAACGAGAUAGUGACGAGAAAUAACAAGUCCGUUCUCUAUGAGGUCGGACAUUGGAAUGGAUGGAAUCUAAAAAGUUCCAUGAGUACCCACGAGAGGGCAAGUCUGGUGCCAGCAGCCGCGGUAAUUCCAGCUCUCGUAAUGUAUAGAAUUAUUGUUGCGGUUAAAAAGUUCGUAGUUGGAUUUUCGACUGUUCGAGGGUCGUGCCUAACGGCGCGUACUCUUGGCAGUGUUUGCAUGCGGGCUUGUGGGCAACUGCAAGUCCGAAUGCGGAUUACUUUGAACGGCUUAAGUGCUCAAGGCGAGUCUUCGGACUGAAUACCGGUGCAUGGAAUAAUGGAACAAGGUUUCGGCUGAGUUUUAUUGGUUUUGUCGGCUAAAACAAUGGUUAACAGGAACAGCAGGGGGCACUCGUAUCGCUGCGCGAGAGGUGAAAUUCGUGGACCGCAGCGAGACGCCCGAAAGCGAAGGCAUUUGUCAUUAGUGUUUUCAUUAAUCAAGAACGAAAGUCAGAGGUUCGAAGGCGAUUAGAUACC
rnacentral:rRNA from 1 species